AGCAGUAGCCGCGGGAAAACGGAGGGUGCAAGCGUUAAUCGGAAUUACUGGGCGUAAAGCGUGCGUAGGCGGUUCGUUAAGUCUGUUGUGAAAGCCCCGGGCUCAACCUGGGAAUGGCAUGGAUACUGGCUGGCUAGAGUGUGUCAGAGGAUGGUGGAAUUUCCGGUGUAGCGGUGAAAUGCGUAGAGAUCGGAAGGAACAUCAGUGGCGGAGGCGGCCAUCUGGGACAACACUGACGCUGAAGCACGAAAGCGUGGGGAGCAAACAGGAUUAGAGACCCCCGUAGUCCCUGUCUCUUAUACA
rnacentral:rRNA from 1 species